UUGUCGUGCUAUCAGCACAUGCUGAUAAAGUUAUCAGCCGCUUCGCUUGCGUCAAUAUUACUGUACCGCCUGCCACAAUCGCAGAGACUUCGUUGCAGAACGUCGACGUCUCGCGUAUUUUGCUUCACAAAGUAGCACAAUAGAGUGUGAACUAAACAAACCAUGAGUAAUCCGACGAAAUGGGGUGUUGUAGGAGCUGGUCGUAUCAGUCACGAUUUCGUUGUCUGCCUGCGUAGCAUGUCACCAGACGAGCACAAGGUUGUAGCUGUUGCCGGAAGGAACUUCGAGAACGCUAAGCGGUUUGCAGACCUCCACAGCAUCAGCAAAGCAUACUCCAGCUAUGAAGAGCUGGCGUUAGACCCGAACAUCGAGGUGGUGUACGUGGGCAGCCUGCACCCCGACCACUACGCCACCUCGCGCAUGCUGCUGGAGAGCGGCAAGCACGUGCUCUGCGAGAAGCCGCUCACCAGCUGCCGAACAGACACCGAAGCCUUAUGCGAGGUGGCCAAGGAGAAGGGGCUCUUCCUCAUGGAGGCGCUGUGGAGCCGUUUCCUGCCGACGUACCGGCGUUUGCAGGAAGAGCUGGAGCGAGGUUCUAUCGGCGCGCCACGCUACGUUCACAUGACCGCAGGCUACCCGAUGCAAGGGCUACAACGGGUGUUCCGCAAGGACUUGGGCGGCUCCGCAGUGCUGACCAUGGGCAUGUACACCACAAACCUGAUCCUGCAGGUUUUUGGCCCGGAGUUUCCGAUUAAAAUUACCGCAAGCGGAGACUUCACCGAUGAAGGUGUGGACACCGUCGUUGCCGGUACAAUGGAGUUCAGCGGCGGGCGCCUUGCCACUUUCGCAAUGUCAUCUAUUUUUCACAUGCCAUCAACAGCAGAAAUCGUCGGAACAAAUGGAACUAUUACAUUGGAUCCACCGAGCCUAUCUCCGAGAGGAAUGCAGACGCCGGCUGGACGGAUGGACUUUCCCUUCCCGCCUGUCUGCAUGCCACUGAAUUACAAAUUCAGCGGGGGACUUCGCUACGAGGCUGAAGAAGUCAGAAGAUGCUUGCUGCGAGGCGAAUGAAGCUGACCUGUUCGUGCAAACAGAUACUUUUCUUAACUCAUACAGAAACCACUAAAGGUGCCAAGGAGAGCCCGCUAAUGCCACACAAGGACUCGAUCCUUAUCGCGUCCAUUUUGGAUGAAAUUCUUAAUCAGAUUGGUGUGAAGUACUAACUGCG
rnacentral:misc_RNA from 1 species